rnacentral:rRNA from 1 species
UACGUAGGGCGCAAGCGUUGUCCGGAAUUAUUGGGCGUAAAGAGCUCGUAGGCGGCCUGUUGCGUCCGCUGUGAAAUCCCGGGGCUCAACCCCGGGCCUGCAGUGGAUACGGGCUGGCUAGAGGCAGGCAGGGGAGACUGGAAUUCCUGGUGUAGCGGUGAAAUGCGCAGAUAUCAGGAGGAACACCGAUGGCGAAGGCAGGUCUCUGGGCCGAUACUGACGCUGAGGAGCGAAAGCGUGGGGAGCGAACAGG